AUGCAUGUCUAAGUACACUGACCUAUUCCGUGAGAAACCGCGAACGGCUCAUUAAAUCAGUUAUAAUCUACAUGCUUAGCUAUAAACUUAAAAGGAUAACUGCGGUAACUCUGCAGCUAAUACUUGACCGUACAGACGAGGCCAUCUUGCAAGGGGUGCGAAUUCUUGUCGACCUUUAUUAAACAGAACCGAACAGUUUCCUGACUAGAGUUGCUAACGCUGGUAGUGAGUUUGAAUAACCGAAGGAGUCCUGUUGGUCGUGGGGUGUCCCUGGUAACCACUCCACACUAUGCCCACAGUAAAUCCCAGGUCCGAAUCAUAUGAGUUUCUGACCUAUCAACUUAUGACGGUAGUGUAACGGACUACCGUGGUUGUAACGGGUAACGGGGAAUCAGGGUUCGAUUCCGGAGAGGGAGCCUGAGAAACGGCUACCACACUUACGAGCGGCAGCAGGCGCGCAAAUUACCCAAUCUCAGUGAUUAAAGAGGAGGUAGUGACGAAAAAUAACAAUACAUUAACCUUACGGUUUUGUGAUUGGAAUGAGAGAAAUUUAAAACCUUUCAUCGAGGAACUAGUGAAGGGCAAGUCUGGUGCCAGCAGCCGCGGUAACACCAGCUUCACAAGCGUAUGCAAAUGCUGCUGCGUUUAAAAAGCUCGUAGUUGGAUCUGUGUGGGGGGGCUGCGUGGUUUCCACCGGGUCCGUUUCGGGUGUGUGGGUGGCCCCCUCCUCUUCCCGUUUGAUAGUGUUUGCGCUUAAUUGUGUCGAAUACUUGGGACGGGCGAUUAAUUUGAGUAAAUUAGAGUGUUCAAAGCGACCUUUGGGUUUGAAUAAUAAAGCAUGUGAUUAGGGAGGAAGACCCACUCAGGUAGUGUGGUGUUUGCUUGAGAUGGUAAUGAUUAAAAGGAACAGUCGGGGGCACUUGUAUUGCUACGCUAGAGGUGAAAUUCUUGGACCGUAGCAAGACAAACUACAGCGAAAGCAUUUGCCAAGAAUGUUUUCAUUAAUCAAGAACGAAAGUUAGAGUAUUGAAGAGGAUUAGAUACCCUCGUAAUUCUAACCAUAAACGAUACCUACUUACGAUUUGUCAAAGUCCCAUUCGACUUGGCAAGGAGUUAUCCGGGAAACCAAAGUUAAUUGGCUCCGGGGGAAGUAUGGUUGCAAAAUCGAAACUUAAAGGAAUUGACGGAAGGGCACCACCAGGAGUGGAGCCUGCGGCUUAAUUUGACUCAACACGGGAAAACUCACCAGGUCCAGACAUUGUAAGGAUUGACAGAUUGAUUAUCUUUCAUGAUUCCAUGGGUGGUGGUGCAUGGCCGUUCUUAGUUAGUGGAGUGAUCUGUCUGGUUAAUUCCGAUAACGAACGAGAUCCUAACCAUCUAACUAGCACUAGUGUCUUAAUGACAAUGUAGUACUUCUUAGAGGAACAAUGCGGAAUAAAUACCGCAGGGAAGUGGGGCUAUAACAGGUCUGUGAUGCCCUUAGAUGUCCUGGGCCGCACGCGCGCUACAAUGAAAGCUACAUACUGAAAUGAUACCUUGUCCGAAGCGGUCAGGGUAAUCACCCAAAAGCUAUUCAUAAUUGGGAUGGAUUAUUGUAAUUAGUAGUCCUGAACGAGGAAUUCCUAGUACCUACUUGUCAUCAGCAAGUAAGGAUUACGUCCCUGCCCUUUGUACACACCGCCCGUCGCUACUACUGAUUGGAUGGGUAAGCAAGACCUUUUGAAAACUGACAGACAUAUACCGCAAGGUAUUAGUCAGUAAGCAAGAAGAAGAUCAAGCUUAUUUGUCUA
rnacentral:rRNA from 1 species